CGGAGGAAAAGAAACUAACAAGGAUUCCCCUAGUAGCGGCGAGCGAAGCGGGAAAAGCCCAAUAUGAAAAGCCUGCUUGCAGGCGUUGUAUUUGGAAGUCUCUGGGGUGUCAGUGCGUGUAAGUUGUAUGGAAAUACACGCCGUGGAGGGUGAGAGCCCCGUCCGACGCGCACAGGACACUCCGUACGAGGCUUUCCUAAUGAGUCGGGUAGCUUGGGAAUGCUGCUCUAAUUGGUGGUAAAUCUCAUCAAAGGCUAAAUAUUGACCGGAGACCGAUAGCGAACAAGUACCGUGAGGGAAAGAUGACAAGCACUUUGAAAAGAGGGUGAAAAGAGCCUGAAACCGUCAUGGGGGAAGCGGAUUGCGUUGUAUUGAUGGGUUGCCGUGUGUUCAGCCGUUCUGGUGUACUGGCACAGUAGCUUAUCUGUCGUGGGUUUCGAAGGGCUGAUUUUGAGCUGUUCGGGGCUGAGGGCUCCCCGUAUGGGUGAGGACGACAGAGUGAUGACGCGAUACGACCCGUCUUGAAACACGGACCAAGGAGUCUAGCGCGGUUGCGAGUCGAAGGGUGCAAGCCUGAGGGCGUAGUGAAAGCGAGUUUAAAACGAACAGUUUGGGGCGGCAUAGGAUCGUUGAUUCUAAGUCUGACCUUGAGCAAUUGCGCUGGGACCCGAAAGAUGGUGAACUAUGCCGGAGUAGGGCAAAGCCAGAGGAAACUCUGGUGGAGGCUCGUAGCGGUGCUGACGUGCAAAUCGCUCGUCGAACUUGGGUAUAGGGGCGAAAGACUAAUCGAACCAUCUAGUAGCUGGUUCCCUCCGAAGUUUCUCUCAGGAUAGCGGGCCGACAUGGGUUGUUUUGUGCGGUAAAGCGAAUGAUUAGCGCAAUCAGGGGCAGUUUGUCUUUGGGCGAUUCUCAAACUUUCAAUGCGCAAGGGUGCCGCUGCUUGGUUGAGCGGCACCGGCAAAAACGUCGGCCCUGUGGGCCACUUUUGGUAAGCAGAACUGGCGAUACGGGAUGAACCGUAAGCGUGGUUAAGGCGCCUAACUGCCCGCUUAGAGACCCCACAAAAGGUGUUGAUUCAUCGAGACAGCAGGACGGUGGCCAUGGAAGUCGGAAUCCGCUAAGGAGUGUGUAACAACUCACCUGCCGAAUGAAUUAGCCCUGAAAAUGGAUGGCGCUGAAGCGGGUGGCCGACACCACGCCGUCUGGUAAAGAAUUAUGAUCAGAUGAGUAGGAGGGCGUGGCGGUUGUAUCGAAGGGUAUGUGCAGACAUGCCUGGAACGGCCGCUAGUGCAGAUCUUGGUGGUAGUAGCAAGUAUUCAAGCGAGAUCCUUGAAGGGCGAAGCGGGGAAGGGUUCCACGCGAACAUUGAUUGGGCGUGGGUGAGUCGUUCCUAAGUCGAGUGGCGAUUGCUAAGUAGCGGCGAAAGGGAAGCUGGUUGACAUUCCAGCACACGGAUGUGGAGGCGGUGACGCGUAUUGGGACGAACACGCUGGCGGUGGCGCUGGGCAGAGUUGUCUUUUCUGUUUGACUUUGCGCGCGCGGUGUGGAAUCCGCUUGUCGGGAGAUACACGCGUGUCGAGGCAGAGCGCCGGGGCUUUUCCGGCGUCCAGCUCGCCACCGACGGCCCUUGAAACUUUGUCUGCUUAAUAAAUCCACGCCGUGGCGUACCGAUCACCGCAUCAGGUCCCCAAGGUGAACAGCCUCUGCUCUAUAUGAACAAUGCAGGUAAGGGAAGUCGGCAAAUUAGACCCGUAACUUUGGGAUAAGGGUUGGCUCUAGUGCUGCGUGGGAGUGGUUGCCCACGGUUGGGGAGGUCGGCGAGGCCGGCUGGGACGGGUCUUUCGGGACUGGUACCGGCUGCUGAGCAGGUCUUUCUGCUUUGGGCGACGCCCACGGCAUGCAGCAGACUAGAACUGCAACGGGCAAAGGGAAUCCGACUGUUUAAUUAAAACAAAGCAUUGCGAGGGCCGUGGCCGGUGAUGACGCAAU
rnacentral:rRNA from 1 species